rnacentral:rRNA from 1 species
UAGACAACCAGGAUGUUGGCUUAGAAGCAGCCACCAUUUAAAGAGUGCGUAAUAGCUCACUGGUCGAUGUGAUUAUGCGCCGACAAUGUCAGGGGCUAAACAUGGUACCGAAAUCAUAGAAUUAACGCAAGUUAAUUGGUAGGGGAGCGUUGUAUUAUAGGCUGAAGCAGUACCUGCGAGGGGCUGUGGACGAAAUACAAGUGAGAAUGCCGGAAUUAGUAGCGAAAAACAAGGUGAAAAACCUUGUCGCCGAAAGUCUAAAGGUUCCUGAGCAAGGUUAAUCCGCUCAGGGUUAGUCGGUACCUAAGCCGAGGCGAGAAGCGUAGGCGAUGGAAAGCAGGUUUAUAAUCCUGUACCGCGGUUAUUGUGUUUGAGAAGAGGGGGGACGCAGGAAGGAAACUUCUGCCUACCUAUGGACAUGGUGGGUCCAAAGCCGAAGUGAGGCUGCGUAGGAAAAAACGCGUGGCUAUUCAUGAGGGUAAGUAAGAAAGGGACUACGGUCCCGAUAGAAGCGGCACUACACUGCCGAGAAAAGCCCCGGUCUUCGAAUAAUAAUUGCGACCGUACUCUAAACCGACACAGGUGGACUGGGAGAAAAUCCUAAGGCGCUCGAGUGAAUCCAGGUUAAGGAACUAGACAAAUUGGCCCCGUAACUUCGGAAUAAGGGGUGCCCAAAGUACGUGUAAUAUAUCAGCAAUGGUCAUAUGAAGCGGAACCGGGUUACAAUAAAGAGGUUCAACCGACUGUUUAACAAAAACACAUGUCUCUGCAAAGCCGUAAGGCGACGUAUAGGGACUGACACCUGCCCAAUGCUGGAAGGUCAAGAGGAGGGGUUAGCCGCAAGGCGAAGCUCUGAAUUUAAGCCCCAGUCAAUGGCGGCCGUAACUAUAACGGUCCUAAGGUAGCGAAAUUCCUUGUCGGGUAAGUUCCGACCUGCACGAAUGGUGUAACGAGUUGAACAUUGUCUCAAUCUGGAGCUCGGCGAAGUUGUACUGCUCGCGAAGAUGCGGGCUACUCACACUAGGACGGAAAGACCCCGUGGAGCUUUACUGUAGUUUGGUAUUGAUUUUUGGUGUAUUAUGUACAGGAUAGGUGGGAGGCUAAGAAGCGUGGCCGUCAGGUUGCGUGGAGCCGCCGUUGGGAUACCACCCUUAAUACACUAGAACUCUAACUUAGUCCCGUAUAUCCGGGACGAGAACAGUGCCAGGCGGGCAGUUUAACUGGGGCGGUUGCCUCCUAAAAUGUAACGGAGGCGCUCAAAGGUUCCCUCAGCGCGGUUGGAAAUCGCGCGUAGAGUGUAAAGGCAUAAGGGAGCUUAACUGCGAGACAAACAAGUCAAGCAGAUACGAAAGUAGGACUUAGUGAUCCGGUGAUUCUGAAUGGAAGGGUCAUCGCUCAACGGAUAAAAGUUACCCCGGGGAUAACAGGCUGAUCUUGCCCAAGAGUUCACAUCGACGGCAAGGUUUGGCA